rnacentral:rRNA from 1 species
CCUACGGGGCGCAGCAGUGGGGAAUAUUGCACAAUGGGGGAAACCCUGAUGCAGCGACGCCGCGUGAGUGAAGAAGUAUCUCGGUACGUAAAGCUCUAUCAGCAGGGAAGAAAAUGACGGUACCUGACUAAGAAGCCCCGGCUAACUACGUGCCAGCAGCCGCGGUCAUCCGUAGGGGGCAAGCGUUAUCCGGAUUUACUGGGUGUAAAGGGAGCGUAGACGGCAGUACAAGUCUGGAGUGAAAUCCCGGGGCUUAACCCCGGAACUGCUUUGGAAACUGUGCAGCUGGAGUGCAGGAGGGGUAAGCGGAAUUCCUGGGGUAGCGGUGAAAUGCGUAGAUAUUAGGAGGAACACCGGUGGCGAAGGCGGCUUACUGGACUGUAACUGACGUUGAGGCUCGAAAGCGUGGGGAGCAAACAGGAUUAGAUACCCUUGUAGUC